rnacentral:rRNA from 1 species
UGGGGAAUCUUCCGCAAUGGACGAAAGUCUGACGGAGCAACGCCGCGUGUAUGAUGAAGGUCUUCGGAUUGUAAAGUACUGUCAUUGGGGAAGAACGGUUUUCUUGAGAAUAUUGAGAAGACAUGACGGUACCCAAGGAGGAAGCCCCGGCUAACUACGUGCCAGCAGCCGCGGUAAUACGUAGGGGGCAAGCGUUGUCCGGAAUUAUUGGGCGUAAAGGGCGCGUAGGCGGGCCUUUAAGUCCGGUGUGAAAGAUCAGGGCUCAACCCUGAGAGUGCAUCGGAAACUGGAGGCCUUGAGGACAGGAGAGGAAAGUGGAAUUCCACGUGUAGCGGUGAAAUGCGUAGAUAUGUGGAGGAACACCAGUGGCGAAGGCGACUUUCUGGACUGUAACUGACGCUGAGGCGCGAAAGCGUGGGGAGCAAACAGGAUUAGAUACCCUGGUAGUCCACG